rnacentral:rRNA from 1 species
AGAUUGAACGCUGGCGGCAUGCCUUACACAUGCAAGUCGAACGGCAGCACGGGAGCAAUCCUGGUGGCGAGUGGCGAACGGGUGAGUAAUACAUCGGAACGUGCCCAGUAGUGGGGGAUAGCCCGGCGAAAGCCGGAUUAAUACCGCAUACGACCUAUGGGUGAAAGCGGGGAUCGCAAGACCUUGCGCUAUUGGAGCGGCCGAUGUCAGAUUAGCUAGUUGGUAGGGUAAAAGCCUACCAAGGCGACGAUCUGUAGCUGGUCUGAGAGGACGACCAGCCACACGUGGGACUGAGACACGGCCCAGACUCCGUACGGGAGCAGCAGGUGGGAAUUUUGGACAAGUGGGCGCGAAGCCUGACUCCAGCCAUCGCCGCGUGCGGGAAGAGGCCUUCGGUUACGUAACCGUC